rnacentral:lncRNA from 1 species
GCGUAUUUCAACAUCAAAUGCAUAGAGAAGGGAGUCAAUCCCUUCCACAAUUAAAUAUUAUAAAUCAGUAAUGAAUCGAACCAAUCUGUAUAGUAUGGAAUUUUUAAUGAAUAAAACCAAUCUGUUGUCGCACUACUGCUAAAAUAAAAUGAAUAACUUAUGUAUGUCAUCAUAAGAACUCAUAAAUUUUGAUACAGUUUUAAUUACCUUUCCACAUCUCCAUUAUCUUUGUCCUUAGUAACCUCCACAUCCUCUGAAUAAUGAUCCAUCCAUAUUUAAUAGAAUAUUAAUUAAAUUCUUUAGUUAGAAUGCUCUCAAAAUCGCCAUUAAAGAAAACGAACUGGAAAAAAAAUAUAAUACAUUAUUUCUGAAAAUUUUACCCUUAAUUGAAUAAUAAUAAUAAAAAAAAAAAAAAAAAACAGAGAACCUAAAUUAUAAUUUGUGAAGUGAAUAACUUUAAUUCUUGUGUAUUACCUCUAGGUUUCUUCUUACUCUUCUAGUUUCGUUAAUGUUGCUGUACUAGAAGCAAGAUUCUUCUUUUUGUUGUGAACCCUAUUUUGCCUAAUCCAAGUUUCAAAUCUUUUAAUAUUCACCAAAAAAAUAUGUCCGCUAAAUAAUAACAAGCAGAUUGAAUUUUUCAAUUGAUUUUGCAAAAUUUUGAAAAUCAACAGCAAUCAACACUAAAAAAUCAGAACACAACACAAAAGAUAAAUAUUCUCUAAACAAUAACUGUGUUGAAAAACUUAAAAAAUACCUAUGUCUUUCUUCUUCUCCUAAAUUGUUCGCCGCUUGUUCACCAAGAACCACUGCUUCUGCAAUAAUUUUUUCUUCAGAACCCUCGAUCGGAUGUCACAAAAAGAAGCAAAGUUAAUACAAUUCUCACGUCGUGUUGCACAAAAUAGAAUUGAAAAUGCAACAAACUACACAAAUCGAGAAGCAAACUAAACACAAAUGAAACUAUAUGGAUCGAAAAGAACUGGAGUAAAUGAUCGAGUAAACAAAAAAAAAAACUCGCCAUUUUCUUCACAACCUUCUUAUUUCAAUCUAAGACAACAUAAAUCGAAAAUACUUGCAAACUAAUUUCCAAAAUCGAGGAUAAAAUCAACAACAUUUCAACAAUUUCUCAAACUUAUUAUUUGCGUCCACCUUGUUCACCAAAAAAACAAAUUAGGUUCCCCUUGUCCACCUUGUUCACCAAAAGAACAAAAAAACAUUUGAAUUUCUGCCUAACCUUUGAAUUUUGCCGACCUUGUAUAUCUUCGCCGCUAACGGUAAUAAAAUGAAAAAAGGAAGAAAACCACCCUAAAUGUAAAUGAAUAAGGAAGAAAAGGUGAAAUGAAACAAGAGAAAAUUAGUCCAAAAUUAUUUCACCGCCUAAAUUAGUGAGU